UAGUACCAGUACCUUGUGUUCA
rnacentral:miRNA from 3 species